UGUUUGGUGGCUGAGUUAAAGCAAUAGACUGUAGAUCUAUUAACGGAGUUAAGUUUCCCCAACAA
rnacentral:tRNA from 1 species